UCACCAGGUAUAUAUAUACCUCUCAGCCAUCAAAAUCUACAUUUAGAGUAGAUAUUAAAGAUAACAACAAAAUGUUGCAGGUGGUUUCACUUUGUUAAGCUCCGUCUCUACUACAUGACGCAAAUAUUAGAAUGAUGUUUCCACCUGAUGUUAUUGAAAAAGCUAAACAUUUUCUUUUCUUGAACUCAGGAGGAGCUUAUAGUGACUCAAGAGAUCUUCUGGAAGUUAGAGAAGAGGUUGCUGAGUUCAUUGACGCCAUGGGUACCCAGGUUAUUGCUUUCAGCUUUGUUUUUAGACAACUGAGAUGUAUUUGUCGUAAAAGCAAAGCCAGCUCAGGGUUAUUAUUUGUCAUCUUCAUAUCUCAGGGACCAAGAACUAACAUUUUUCACUGAUGGAUCUAGCAGAGGUGUGAAACAAAUCUAGAACUAUGUUAUACACGGAGAGGGAGACGGGGUAAUGCUCUGUCCCAAGAGGUCUUAGUAACUGCUACAAUUUUACUUCUGACACUUCUUCUCUAGCUAUUUGCACCACCAAAAUUUCUCAUUGGCCGAUGAAUCGACCAAAAGGCUUCAUUGCUCUGAAGGUGAUGAUGAGAUGAAUGGGUGUCAUAUUUUCCCCGAAGAGAUGAGAUCAAAGCUUAUUACUGUGUCCUUGCGGAUUUGUCUAUGUCUUUUCUCUCAUAUGGAGAUCAAAGUAAAUGAUAAGCUUCCCCCAAACAAGUAUUAGAAGACAAGUGGUAACAGUGGAGACGCAAGUUACCAAAAACGUGGCGGUAGUACAUGUCGAUCGUGGUACUGGUACAUGGCGGUAGUACAUGUCGAUCGUGGUACUGGUAUACGUGGAUCGUCUUCAUCAUUUUAAGAAAGAAUCAUUAAUAAGUUUUAUUGUUUAAUUCUUUUUGCUUGGCUUAGU